GCUGGGCAUGGUGGCGCAUGCCUGUAAUCCCAGCUACUUGGGAGGCUGAGGCAGGAUUAUUGCCUCUGCCCAGGAGGCAGAGGUUGCAGUGAGCUGAGAUCGUGCCACUGCACUCCAGCCUGGGCGACAGAGCCAGACUCUGUCUCAA
ensembl:misc_RNA Metazoa_SRP Metazoan signal recognition particle RNA